rfam:Thalassiosira oceanica strain CCMP1005 To_g09843, whole genome shotgun sequence.
GGGGGAUUAGCUCAGUUGGUAGAGCGCGUGCUUAGCAUGCACGAGGUCGUGGAUUCGAUUUCCACAUUCUCCA